UGAAACACAACCGGUAAAACAAACAAAUGUAAAAACCCAAUUGCAUGUGAAGCAAUACAUGCACAGAAACACUAAGCUUUAAAAAUAAAUUAAAGAUGAAAAAGUUAGCUUGGGUUAACUGUUGUUAACCUUUGUUUUUCUCAUUCUGCAUGUUUCACUUUUCUCCUUGGGCAUCAACUGGAAGUUCAUUAACACUGAUGGAAACCAAACACACAGUAGAUUUUUCCCAGGACCUGUUCAUGUAGCCCAGGGAGGGACUUCCACCAAGAGCCGAGUUUUGAUCUCAUGGUCAUUACACAGAGUUAAUAGGAAAGGGGAGAACUAAUUUAUUACACAAGGUUUUACUUCUCACAGUGUAUAAACGGGGGAAUCCAAACCCACUUGGAGCAGUGUUGAAACCCCGCAGUGUGGGCUUCACAGAGACUUCCUAAACACGCGAUGCCAUCGUGUGGGCAAAGCUAUCGCCAGCAGUUUCCAGAGGAACGACAUUGAAUCCUAGAAUAUUUUGAGCUGUUUUGAGUUAAAAUGGUCAUCUCGACCCUGCUACGGGCAGGGACACCUUCCUCUAGCGCAAGUUGCGUUCGCAUCAUAUGAUCAUGCCAUUAAUUCCUUCAUUUUCACUUGCUAUGUCCUGACCCUGCUGACAGGAGUUGAGUAAUCCUGUGCCUCUAGUGGUGAUCAGAGAGAAUCUGAAACAGCAUCCACCCUUGGAAUUCUGGUCAGUCUGUUUCUGAGCUGGCAACAAGAAGACUAUUCUACAGGAAUAUUCACAACACCAGAUUUGUGGGAAUUUUCUCAUCUCCCCCCAUCUGGAAGGAGAAGGAGGCUUCACACUGAGCUCAGGCUGCAAGAAAAUCAACCAGAGCAAAGCAUGGAUAAAAAUGGUGUCACUGCUAUGAAUGUGAAGGCCUUGGUGUGAUGCAAGAAUCAACACCUGUGGCUGAAAGAACAAGAAUAAUGCAAAUGGGAUGAAAAGUAGCCAAUAUGAAAAAAAAGUGAGUUCUGGGAUCAGAGUUUUGCAGCUACUGAGGCUAUAAUUUUUCUCCCAAGUGUUAACAUGUCUGACGGAAGGCAUGGCCAGUCCCUGUUACCUUGCAUUUGUCCUUAGCACAUGUACAGCCUUUUUACCUCUCAGCCUCAGACCAGCCUGAUUUUGCCAGUCAGGAGACAGAAGCUGAGCCUAUUCAUUGAGAAAUUGUUGUGUUUUCCUUCCACUCCCUGUUGCCACUGAAAUCCAACAGCAGAGUCUGAGUGUUUACCCUGCAAGUGACCUGUGUGUGUUUAUUGCACACAGGGACUCUCAGCUUUUCCCUUCCCAAAGGCCACCAGUUGUUUCCAGCACACAUCAGGGCCAGCAACACCUUCUCCCACUGACCUUUCUGAGACCUUUCCAGGACACUUUUUGGGAUGCUUUUUAAAACACUUCAGCACAGGACACCUGGCACCUCAGCCCUGACAGGAGCUGGGGUCCCAGCUAUAGCUCUGAACAUUUUUUACUCUUUUUGA
rnacentral:lncRNA from 1 species